rnacentral:rRNA from 1 species
GAUGAACGCUGGCGGCGUGCCUAAUACAUGCAAGUCGAGCGAACGGACGAGAAGCUUGCUUCUCUGAUGUUAGCGGCGGACGGGUGAGUAACACGUGGAUAACCUACCUAUAAGACUGGGAUAACUUCGGGAAACCGGAGCUAAUACCGGAUAAUAUUUUGAACCGCAUGGUUCAUAAGUGAAAGACGGUCUUGCUGUCACUUAUAGAUGGAUCCGCGCUGCAUUAGCUAGUUGGUAAGGUAACGGCUUACCAAGGCAACGAUGCAUAGCCGACCUGAGAGGGUGAUCGGCCACACUGGAACUGAGACACGGUCCAGACUCCUACUGGAGGCAGCAGUAGGGAAUCUUCCGCAAUGGGCGAAAGCCUGACGUAGCAACGCCGCGUGAGUGAUGAAGGUCUUCGGAUCGUAAAACUCUGUUAUUAGGGAAGAACAUAUGUGUAAGUAACUGUGCACAUCUUGACGGUACCUAAUCAAAAAGCCACGGCUAACUACGUG